rnacentral:rRNA from 1 species
CUACGGGAUGCAGCAGUGAGGAAUUUUGCGCAAUGGGGGGGAACCCUGACGCAGCAACGCCGCGUGAGUGAUGAAGGCUUUCGGGUCGUAAAGCUCUGUCAAGUGGGAAGAACCUAUGCAGUGUUAAUAUCACUGUAUACUGACGGUACCACUGAAGGAAGCACCGGCUAACUCCGUGCCAGCAGCCGCGGUAAUACGGGGGGUGCAAGCGUUAUUCGGAAUCAUUGGGCGUAAAGGGCACGUAGGCGGCUUGGUAAGUCAGAUGUGAAAGCCCGGGGCUUAACCCCGGAAGUGCAUUUGAUACUGUCAGGCUUGAGUAUGGGAGAGGGAAGUGGAAUUCCUGGUGUAGAGGUGACAUUCGUAGAUAUCAGGAGGAACACCGGUGGCGAAGGCGACUUCCUGGACCAAUACUGACGCUGAGGUGCGAAGGCGUGGGUAGCAAACAGGAUUAGAUACCCCCGUAGUC